rnacentral:rRNA from 1 species
ACAGUGGACGCGAGCAUCUGUGGCCAAGUUUUUAAGGGCGCACGGUGGAUGCCUUGGCACCAGGAACCGAUGAAGGACGUGGGAGGCCGCGAUAGGCCCCGGGGAGCUGUCAACCGAGCUUUGAUCCGGGGGUGUCCGAAUGGGGAAACCCGGCAGUCGUCAUGGGCUGUCACCCGCUGCUGAACACAUAGGCAGUGUGGAGGGAACGAGGGGAAGUGAAACAUCUCAGUACCCUCAGGAAGAGAAAACAACCGUGAUUCCGGGAGUAGUGGCGAGCGAAACCGGAUGAGGCCAAACCGUAUGUGUGUGAUACCCGGCAGGGGUUGCGCAUGCGGGGUUGUGGGA